ensembl:snRNA U6 U6 spliceosomal RNA
GUGCUCACUUCAGCACAUAUACUAAAAUUGGAAUGAUACAGAUUAGAUUAGCAUAGCCCCUGCCUAAGAAUGACACACAGAUUCAUGAAGUAUUCCAUAUUAAG